AAAUCAGUAGGUGAAGCUGGAAACUAUGGAAGAAGAAUUUGUAAUCCUCACUUGCCUUAUAAAAUGAACAUUGAGAAAAUUAACUCAAACAUUCUUAAGCACAAGGUAAUAAAAGAGUUGAACCUGCUUUUCAAAUAGUGCUUAUAUUAAAUGUUAAGCUCAUACUGACUUACAAAAAGAUUACUAAACAAAUAUAAAAAGUGAAUUGUCAAGACAUUAUUUAGUAAAACUGCUCUAGAGUGGGAUUAUUUUCUCUCUUGAUGUUUACUAAGUUUUGAAUUUUGUAGUAUAUUGAUUUUCUAACAUUUCCAAAAAGAGCUCAGGAGUUAUUGCCUUGUUGCUAGGUUUUAGGGAACAUUAGAGGCCCUACUUUCAUUCUUUCUUUUCCUACUCUGACUUGAGUCCUUUAGAAAAUUAAUUCAGUUUCUUAGCAACCCAGGUGGGUAAAACUUAAAUGCACUUUGAGAUCUUUUGUAAAGCAAAGGCUAAAUGUUUCCUUAUAAACUAUCUGUUUAGUCUCAUCUGGCUUUGCAGAAAAGAUCUUCUGAGACAUACUGCCAAAAACAAUUUUAUUCAAACUCGCAAUUUUAAAUGAUUUCAACCUGUGAAAACGCCCCUGUGUCCCAGACAGGUAGGAGAGGCAGAGAUACUGCAGAGAGGCUGCACUGUCUCAUGCAAGAUCACAACUCCAAAUGGAAAAUAAAUGCACUGCAACCACCACAAUCUGAAGUAAAAGUCAACAUUUGGGAAAUAAAGCCUCCUGAUUUUAGUUACAAACUGUAUACAUCUUUGAGGCUUGCAGAAAAGCCAUCAAGGACCAUCAUGGAAGAAGAAAGAAGAAAAAUCCCUGAUUUUCCAGGAAAAAUGGUUCACCUUCCCAGCCUAAGGAAUCCUCCCAAGAAGGCCAUAUCUCCUAAAUUUAUAACUACAUUUCCACGUCUGGAUUCACAUAAAGCAAAGUUAAUGUUUGUGGAGAGUGGAAAAUAUCCAAAUGGUGUAUACCUCAAUCCAAAACCACAUGACUUUCGACAGAAUGAACGUAAUUUACCAAAUUUUGUGACGACUUAUGAAAAGGAUCCUUUUGGAUUAAAAUUUAAGUCACAACACUUAAGUACGGUAAGUGGAUGUCCAUUGCUGAAAAAUGGUCAACAGAACAGUACAGAAAGAUUUAUCACCUACAAGCCUCGUGAAUGCACCUGGGAUUCAAAGCUAAUUUUACCAAAAGCCCCUUGGCCCGUUAAAUCUGCUUCAUACACAGCACCUUUGGUCCCUUUGCUCUAUAAAUGA
rnacentral:lncRNA from 1 species